rnacentral:rRNA from 1 species
GACGAACGCUGGCGGCGUGCUUAACACAUGCAAGUCGAACGGAAAGGCCCUGCUUUUGUGGGGUGCUCGAGUGGCGAACGGGUGAGUAACACGUGAGUAACCUGCCCUUGACUUUGGGAUAACUUCAGGAAACUGGGGCUAAUACCGGAUAGGAGCUCCUGCUGCAUGGUGGGGGUUGGAAAGUUUCGGCGGUUGGGGAUGGACUCGCGGCUUAUCAGCUUGUUGGUGGGGUAGUGGCUUACCAAGGCUUUGACGGGUAGCCGGCCUGUGAGGGUGACCGGCCACAUUGGGACUGAGGUACGGCCCAGACUCCUACGGGAGGCAGCAGUGGGGAAUAUUGCACAAUGGGCGGAAGCCUGAUGCAGCAACGCCGCGUGCGGGAUGACGGCCUUCGGGUUGUAAACCGCUUUCGCCAGUGACGAAGCGAAAGUGACGGUACCGGAAGAAGAAGCACCGGCUAACUACGUG